CCUACGGGGGGCUGCAGUGGGGAAUUUUGCGCAAUGGGCGAAAGCCUGACGCAGCAACGCCGCGUGGGUGAUGAAGGUCUUCGGAUCGUAAAACCCUGUCGUUGGGGACGAAGGUGGGGGCGUUAAUAGCGUUUCUGCUUGACGGUACCCGGAGAGGAAGCCCCGGCUAACUCUGUGCCAGCAGCCGCGGUAAUACAGAGGGGGCAAGCGUUAUUCGGAAUUAUUGGGCGUAAAGAGCGCGUAGGCGGUUGCAGAUGUGUAAUCCCCGAGCGCAACUUGGGAACUGCAUCUGAGACUGGAAGGCUAGAGUACUGGAGGGGGUGGUGGAAUUCCUCGUGUAGCGGUGAAAUGCGUAGAGAUGAGGAGGAACACCAGUGGCGAAGGCGGCCACCUGGACAGUAACUGACGCUGAGGCGCGAAAGUGUGGGUAGCAAACAGGAUUAGAUACUC
rnacentral:rRNA from 1 species